GUUGCUGCCCAUGGAAUAUGUCCUCGUACAUAGCUACGCUAAAAUGUAAGUAUGCAUUCACAACUCAGAACACAUACUUUAAUAAUAAAUAAACAAACAAACAAACAUGAAGCCUGCACUUGCAAAACUCAUGGUUAGUUGUUUGCUGACUUAUUUUAAUUGCAAUGUUAAGGAUGAUGAACUUACAUAGAUGUAAUGGUCUUACAAGAAUUAAAUAAUUUUAGAAAAUAGGAAAAUACCUUUUUACACUUAGGCUUAGACAAGGCACGUGUGGGCUCGUAAAACUUCAUUUUUUUACUUCGCAGCUUUGUCAUACCUCGCACAUUUUAGAACCUUCAUAUAAGGAAUUAAAGAUGUCAUCACAUGCUCUUAAAAAAAUAGAAAUAAAGAUGCAACAUUCAAUAUGACUUGAUGGUACAAUAAAUAAAAUUUCAAAUUUUUUUCCUUCAUCAAAUGUGGAAUAACUCACAUUACAUAGCAUAACAAUAAUAGGCUACAUAUUGACAAAAAAAAAUUAGCAGAUGGAAUGAUAGCUCAAUCCAUAUCAAUCAGUUCUUUUGCUAUCAUUAAAUUUGGGUAAAUGUCAAGUUAGUAAUUGUUAAAGGGUUACUAUGUGUCUAUGUAUUAUGUGAUCAUAAGGCAUGUUUUAUAGUAGACUUACCUUCAACCAUCUUCAUUAUCUCUUCUUUACUGUGGAUGUCGAUGGAGAUAAUGAAAUUUCUGGGAAGUAACUUCCUUCGCCGAAUUUCAUGGAGAGGUACUUUCAAGUAUAUUACAGUGUCAUACACUUCAAACUCUGCACAUUUACAUUUAUAACAAUGAAUUCAGUAGUACUAUUACAUAUUAAUCUUAUCAUCACUCCCAAGUAUUCAAUUACUAGAUCUUAGUCUAAAUAACUUCUUAGGUACUUAAAAGUUCUCAAAGUUCUCCAAAUUGCAAAUUAUCUCAUCCGUCAUUCCGCCACUCGCCAUUUUAAAACUUAACAAACUUGAUGAACAUACCAAAAUGUUAUCACAUUCAUUAUUAUGUCUACUAUGUUAUCUAGUCCCUUAAAUUUUAAAAUGGUGAGUGACCGAUUUAAUAACUUUUUUAUAAGUUUAGGAACAAUUUGGAGAACUUUUAAAGUUCAACGAAACAGUGAAACUUUUUGUAAAGUUCAGUGGCAACUUAUUGAUCUUUUAGAGUUCAGUGGUAAUUGGAAAAAUAAAUUGAGAAAGUUCAAAGGCAAUUGAGAUAUUAAACCCGUAUCUUAUUAUAUUUAAUUAUUUAUUAGAUUUAGUUUUUGUAUUUAUAAAGUUUUGUUAGUUUGAGGACCUAUGAUGCAAUUUUUGUUAUGAUCAGUGAUUCAGGUUUUUUCAUUAGUUUCAAAGAUGCCUUGUCCUUUGAGUAUUUUGAUUAAAAAUUGAAAACUUGAAAGAGUUUUUCUUCUACAAUUUUCCAACCUAAAUUGGUAUUAGGCGGAAU
rnacentral:lncRNA from 1 species